AAGUCGUAACAAGGUUUCCUUCACCUAUUGAAGCCUUCAGCAGCGACUGUAAAGAAAUGCGUAGUUUGCUUGCAAGCAAUGCCACUCAAAUGCUGAGACAUAUGAAUCAGCAGCCUUUUAGGCUCACAGAUCAAAUUGUGGUAACCAUUCUUAUGGGCAAGAUAUGACCGGUCUUAACUAGAGUUAGUUAAGAAUCCACGUUCCGUAGGUGAACCUGCGGAAGGAUCAUUACUGAAUUGUCAAACGGGUUGUUGCUGGCCCUCAUAGGGGGCAUGUGCACGCUCUGUUUACACAUCCACU
rnacentral:misc_RNA from 1 species